rnacentral:rRNA from 1 species
UACAGAGGUCUCAAGCGUUGUUCGGAUUCAUUGGGCGUAAAGGGCGCGUAGGCGGCGGGGUAAGUCGGGUGUGAAAUCUCAGAGCUCAACUCUGAAACUGCACUCGAUACUGCUUUGCUAGAGGACUGGAGAGGAGAUUGGAAUUCACGGUGUAGCAGUGAAAUGCGUAGAGAUCGUGAGGAAGACCAGUGGCGAAGGCGGAUCUCUGGACAGUUCCUGACGCUGAGGCACGAAGGUCAGGGGAGCAAACGGG